CAGGUUGUGAACCAGAUGUCAGCUGUAGGAACUUAAGGGCAUUUGAGAAAUAAAUUUCCCUGGCUCUAAACAAGCAUUUUAGAACCCCCAGCAGGAUUUUGAUGUUAGCUUAAGGAAAAGUAAAUGUUUGCUCGGCUCCAUCUUCAAACACUCUCAGCAUUUUGACCACCGUGUAUAGCACUCAUCUGAAGUCUUCCCAUGCUACUUUUAACUCCUCUGCUUCCAUGGUAUAUUGAAAUUAAUUAUACAGCCUUCUUCCCUUUCAGAUGAAUGUUACUGCUUUGUUAAGUAAAUCCCAG
rnacentral:lncRNA from 1 species